rnacentral:rRNA from 1 species
CAAUCCAUGAGUAAAGUGGCGUACGGGUGAGUAACACGUGGAUAACCUGCCCUUUAGUGGGGAAUACCGNUGGGAAACCGGCGACAAUACCGCAUAAGCUCGAGAGAGGAAAGCAGCNUGCGCUGAAGGAGGGGUCCGCGGCCGAUUAGCUAGUUGGUAGGGUAAUGGCCUACCAAGGCUGUGAUCGGUAGCCGGCCUGAGAGGGCACACGGCCACACUGGCACUGAAACACGGGCCAGACUCCUACGGGAGGCAGCAGUGGGGAAUCUUGCACAAUGGAGGAAACUCUGAUGCAGCGACGCCGCGUGAGCGAUGAAGCCCUUCGGGGUGUAAAGCUCUUUCGGCAGGGAAGAUUAUGACGNUACCUGCAGAAGCAGCUGCGGCUAACUACGUGCCANCAGCCGCGGUAAUACGUAGGCAGCAA